rnacentral:rRNA from 1 species
CCUACGGGAGGCUGCAGUGGGGAAUAUUGCACAAUGGGGGAAACCCUGAUGCAGCGACGCCGCGUGAAGGAAGAAGUAUUUCGGUAUGUAAACUUCUAUCAGCAGGGAAGAAAAUGACGGUACCUGACUAAGAAGCACCGGCUAACUACGUGCCAGCAGCCGCGGUAAUACUUAGGGGGCAAGCGUUAUCCGGAUUUACUGGGUGUAAAGGGAGCGUAGGCGGUUUAGCAAGUCAGAAGUGAAAGCCCGGGGCUCAACCCCGGGACUGCUUUUGAAACUGUUGAACGAGAGUGCAGGAGAGGUAAGUGGAAUGCCUAGUGUAGCGGUGAAAUGCGUAGAUAUUAGGAGGAACACCAGUGGCGAAGGCGGCUUACUGGACAGUAACUGACGUUGAGGCUCGAAAGCGUGGGGAGCAAACAGGAUUAGAUACCCGAGUAGUC